rnacentral:rRNA from 1 species
UACAGAGGUGGCAAGCGUUGUUCGGAAUUACUGGGCGUAAAGGGCGCGUAGGCGGUUCGUUAAGUCCUGUGUGAAAUCCCCCGGCUCAACUGGGGAACUGCACAGGAAACUAGCGGGCUUGAGUUCGGGAGAGGGAAGCGGAAUUCCAGGUGUAGCGGUGAAAUGCGUAGAUAUCUGGAGGAACACCGGUGGCGAAGGCGGCAUCCUGGACCGGCAUUGACGCUGAGGCGCGAAAGCCAGGGGAGCAAACGGG